AGAGUUUGAUCAUGGCUCAGAUUGAACGCUGGCGGCAUGCUUUACACAUGCAAGUCGAGCGGCAGCGCGGGGGCAACCCUGGCGGCGAGCGGCGGACGGGUGAGUAAUGCAUCGGAACGUAUCCCGUAGUGGGGGACAACCCAGCGAAAGCUGGGCUAAUACCGCAUAUGCUCUACGGAGGAAAGCAGGGGACUCGCAAGAGCCUUGUGCUAUGGGAGCGGCCGAUGUCCGAUUAGCUAGUUGGUGGGGUAAAGGCUUACCAAGGCGACGAUCGGUAGCUGGUCUGAGAGGAUGAUCAGCCACACUGGGACUGAGACACGGCCCAGACUCCUACGGGAGGCAGCAGUGGGAAUUUUGGACAAUGGGGCAACCCUGAUCCAGCCAUGCCGCGUGCGGGAAGAAGGCCUUCGGGUUGUAAACCGCUUUUGGUCGGGAAGAAAAGGUUCUCCCUAAUACGGGGGACUGUUGACGGUACCGGCAGAAUAAGCACCGGCUAACUACGUG
rnacentral:rRNA from 1 species